rnacentral:lncRNA from 10 species
UUUAAUUUUUUAUAUAUGAAUACUUUAAAUGGAUAAUUAGAUUUUCUUAAGAAUUACUGAGCUUCAAAAUUGUAGUUGUUAUUUAAAAUUGAUAUAGGCUUUAUUAAGAAAAUUCAGUUCAUAAGAGUGAAGCAUGUGAUUCUGAAACCAUCCAUUGGAUAAUUUUAAUAACUGAAUUUUACACUCUAGAGUUAGAAUCUAGUUGGUUAAAUUGAAGUUAGGACAGAAAUUAUUAUAUAUUGUUAUCAAAAUGGUGAGAUCAUAAUUUUCUAAAACAUCAGAUUGGCUCCAAUUAAUUAAAAUAAUUAAAUAUUUUUUGUAGAAUCAUGACUUUAUCCUGACCUAUAUUAUUUAAACAAAUCACUUGUGCUGUUCACAACAAAAAAUUAGUGAAAACAGUGAUAUAAAUUCUUUUAAUUAUAAGCCAAAGAUGCAGCCUACAAUCUCCAUAAAAGAGAAAGUAUUUUUAAUUUUGUGGCUUCUUUUUGGGGAAAAUUGCUUUCCUUAAUGGAAACCGUAGCCAUGUUUUGGUAUAUACUUAGUUAUAAUUCCUUAUUUCCAAUUCUAAAAUCUGGAAACUCUGAAAACUGAACAUUUCUCCCCCUGCGUUUAGCAGAGGCUCAUUUAGUGUGAGUAUAUGUUUCACUGUAGAAAUAUUUACGUGUUUGAAUAAAGAUUGCUCCCCCAGGUCCAGCUGGAGUAAUAUGCGAUAUAUGUUGCAUGUAC